GCCAGGCAUGGUGGCUCAUGCCUGUAAUCCCAACACUUUGGGAGGCUGAGGCAGGUGGAUCACUUGAGGUCAGGAGUUCAAGACCAGCCUGGCCAAUAUGGUGAAACCCUGUCUCUA
rnacentral:SRP_RNA from 1 species